AGAGUUUGAUCAUGGCUCAGGAUGAACGCUGGCGGCGUGCCUAACACAUGCAAGUCGAGCGAUUCUCUUCGGAGAAGAGCGGCGGACGGGUGAGUAACGCGUGGGUAACCUGCCCUGUACACACGGAUAACAUACCGAAAGGUAUGCUAAUACGAGAUAAUAUGCUUUUAUCGCAUGGUAGAAGUAUCAAAGCUUUUGCGGUACAGGAUGGACCCGCGUCUGAUUAGCUAGUUGGCAAGGUAACGGCUUACCAAGGCGACGAUCAGUAGCCGACCUGAGAGGGUGAUCGGCCACAUUGGAACUGAGACACGGUCCAAACUCCUACGGGAGGCAGCAGUGGGGAAUAUUGCACAAUGGGCGAAAGCCUGAUGCAGCAACGCCGCGUGAGCGAUGAAGGCCUUCGGGUCGUAAAGCUCUGUCCUCAAGGAAGAUAAUGACGGUACUUGAGGAGGAAGCCCCGGCUAACUACGUG
rnacentral:rRNA from 1 species